rnacentral:rRNA from 1 species
AUUGAACGCUGGCGGCAGGCCUAACACAUGCAAGUCGAGCGGUAACACAGGGAGCUUGCUCCCGGGUGACGAGCGGCGGACGGGUGAGUAAUGUCUGGGAAACUGCCGGAUGGAGGGGGAUAACUACUGGAAACGGUAGCUAAUACCGCAUAACGUCACAAGACCAAAGAGGGGGACCUUCGGGCCUCUUGCCAUCAGGUGUGCUCAGAUGGGAUUAGCUAGUAGGUGGGGUAACGGCUCACCUAGGCGACGAUCCCUAGCUGGUCUGAGAGGGUGACCAGCCACACUGGAACUGAGACACGGUCCAGACUCCUACGGGAGGCAGCAGUGGGGAAUAUUGCACAAUGGGCGCAAGCCUGAUGCAGCCAUGCCGCGUGUAUGAAGAAGGCCUUCGGGUUGUAAAGUACUUUCAGCGGGGAGGAAGGUGCUGAGGUUAAUAACCUCAGCAAUUGACGUUACCCGCAGAAGAAGCACCGGCUAACUCCGUGCCAGCCGCCGCGGUAA